AGUGAACGCUGGCGGUAGGCCUAACACAUGCAAGUCGAACGGCAGCACAGUAAGAGCUUGCUCUUACGGGUGGCGAGUGGCGGACGGGUGAGGAAUACAUCGGAAUCUACUUUUUCGUGGGGGAUAACGUAGGGAAACUUACGCUAAUACCGCAUACGACCUACGGGUGAAAGCAGGGGAUCUUCGGACCUUGCGCGAUUGAAUGAGCCGAUGUCGGAUUAGCUAGUUGGCGGGGUAAAGGCCCACCAUGGCGACGAUCCGUAGCUGGUCUGAGAGGAUGAGCAGCCACACUGGAACGGAGACACGGUACAGGGUCCUACAGAAACGAGCAUUAGGCAAUCUUGGACCAGGGGCGGAAACCAGAGCCAGCCGGACCGAGUGUGUGAAGAAGGACUUCUGUGUGUAAAGCCAUUUUGUUCGGAAAGAAAAGCACCAGCUUAAGACACCAAUGUUAUGACGGUACCAAAAGAAUAAGCACCGGCUAACUUCGUG
rnacentral:rRNA from 1 species